UCCCUCCGCCCCACCAAAGCAACUCGAUCCAUUUAAUAGGACAUAAGAGGACCACACUGUGCUAAAAAUUUCUUUCAAAGCCUUAGCCUACCCCUCAAACCGUGGGCUAACACCCAUCGAUAGUCUCAAAAAAUCCUCAAUUCCUGUCGUUUCACCCGUUUGACUUGAAAAAUGGCUUCCUUAGCCCGCAAAAGCAAUCCAAAAAAAUCCCGAGCUAGUGAUUUGGUGUCGUUGCAUCGACAAAAGUACCACCACAACGACUGACCCUUUUGGUUUAGGUAUCGCUGCAAUGAUAGAUCCUCUGUUGCACCAACAUCGUUGCAGAGACAAAUAUGCAAAAAAAUCAGUUGAAGUUGAAAAAUAACAUUUUUCAUUCUCAUUGUCCAGAAGCUCAUCUCAGGACUAGGAGAAGGCGAUUUGGACCAGUUUGCAGGUAACAUAUCUCUACUCGAUCCUCUUCAAUACGUACAAAUUAUACCAGCACAAAAAGUUAGAACUACACCAUUCUCGUAAUCAAGGUAAAUUAUAUUUAGGGGAAAAGGACAUUGUGUAGUCUUUAAAAAAAAAAUAGUCCAAAUUUGGACAUAUGGAUAUAUAGUGUCUUGUCGGAUAAAGAAAUGCCACUUUAUGGCCAUUGGGCCAUUUUUCAGCCCUUCCCUUGGCCAUUCGGCCCUUUACUUCUUUUUUUUGCUACGAAAUUUUAAACUGAAAAAUAUUUUACUUUUUUUUAUUGCUUAAAAAUAAUAAUUAAGUAUAAUUGUAUAAAAAUAAUAUAAUUGUUAUAUAAAUAUAUAUAACACAACCUAACCCUUUGGUCGGCUUCUGGAUGACAUUAUGCAAAUGUCAAUGCUACUUUUUGUUUCACUUUAUUAAUCUUGUUUUUUUUUGUUUUUGUUUUAAUUUCAGCUAUUUUAUGUCCUACAAUUUUAUUUCUUUGCUAUUCACCUUUUAUAAUUUAUAAGAUAUAUGUAUAGAAAUUAUAUAAUUUUAUAAAAUAUAUAUAUAUAAUUGUAUAAAAUGUGUAUAUAAAUAUAUAAUUAAUGUAUAAAAUACACAUUCGAAUAAUAAUUGCAGCUAAAGGUUGAAUAGAAUAUGUAUAAAAACUAUAUAAUUGUUGUAUAAAAUAUGUGUAUAUAUAUGGAUUUUGCUAACAUACUACAUGAAGGUAGUAUGUUAGCAUCCUCCCACCUCUUUUUUAAUUUCCUUAAAAGCCCCUACCAUUCUAUGCCAACUCAUUAAAGUAAGGGAGCUUUUUGUCUUUUCAUGAUCAAACACCCAAUUCAUUUUCUUUCUUUCUAUGCUCUUACUUUCCUAUCAUAUAUGGGAUUAUGAUAUUGAUAGGAACGUAAAGAGUUUUUUUUUUUUCUUUUUUUGAUAUUUGGUUAAUUAAAAUUCUUUGAAAAUUAUUUUUAAAUAAAGAAAAUAACUUUUCAAAAAAAAAGUUCAUAAAUAUUUUCGAUAGAUUGAGUUAGUUUUUGUUCGAUUUUGUAGACCAACGUAGUCCCU
rnacentral:lncRNA from 1 species